UUUUUUUUUCUACACUUCUUCUUUCCGUUUCUCUUCUUAUUUAUAGGCUGAAAUAAUCACUAUUCAUCACUAUUCAUCACUGUUCACCCGUGACAGACAAACUCUAUCAAAGCCGCCAAAUGAACAGUAAUGAACAGUAAUGUGGGCUCCAUAUCAAGACUUUUACAACAAAAUUAAGAUAUUAUGAGACUUUUAUUCAGAUAAUGAUUAAAUGGAAUAACUAUUACAGGAGGUGGAUAUCAUCCAUUAUCUCCACGUUUUGGCUAGCAGUUGUCUCUUAAUAGGAGAGUCAGUUGUAAAGCAACUUGUAUAAAAGGCUUGGUCUCUGCUCUCAUAUUCACACGUUCAUAUUCUGUAUGCUUGUCCUAUUGAAAGCCUUGACAUUUUGGAAUACUGAGAAGACAAUAUCAUCUUGUAUAUCUGAUUAUGGCUAAUUCAAGUAAGUCUUAUCUCUAAUCGUUCUAUUGUUUAAUUGUCAAAUUUGUGUUAAGGUGUGGUUUAAGUGCUAAAUUGGUUCAAGAUUAUUUUGCAUACAGUAAACGUCUACAUACAGAUGAUUGCACUCACAUGACUUGGGGUUCCCUUCUCAAAACUAAAAGGGAAGCCAUUUUAAAGUUUCAACAGUUCCAUAAAAUAGUAGAAACACAAUUUCAGGCCGGAAUCCAAUCGUGUCAUUGUGAAAAAGUUAUCAAACCUAAAACAUCAUUGCAUGUCAUUGCGAUAAGGAUUGAGGAUGAUGAAGAUUCAAGAACGCCAC
rnacentral:lncRNA from 1 species